GACGAACGCUGGCGGCGUGCCUAAUACAUGCAAGUAGAACGCUGAAGAGAGGAGCUUGCUCUUCUUGGAUGAGUUGCGAACGGGUGAGUAACGCGUAGGUAACCUGCCUGGUAGCGGGGGAUAACUAUUGGAAACGAUAGCUAAUACCGCAUGACAUUGAUUAUCGCAUGAUAAUUGAUUGAAAGAUGCAAUUGCAUCACUACCAGAUGGACCUGCGUUGUAUUAGCUAGUUGGUGAGGUAACGGCUCGCCAAGGCGACGAUACAUAGCCGACCUGAGAGGGUGAUCGGCCACACUGGGACUGAGACACGGCCCAGACUCCUACGGGAGGCAGCAGUAGGGAAUCUUCGGCAAUGGGGGGAACCCUGACCGAGCAACGCCGCGUGAGUGAAGAAGGUUUUCGGAUCGUAAAGCUCUGUUGUAAGAGAAGAACGGGUGUGAGAGUGGAAAGUUCACACUGUGAC
rnacentral:rRNA from 1 species